GAUGAACGCUGGCGGCGUGCCUAAUACAUGCAAGUCGAGCGAACAGACGAGGAGCUUGCUCCUCUGACGUUAGCGGCGGACGGGUGAGUAACACGUGGAUAACAUACCUAUAAGACUGGGCUAACUUCGGGAAACCGGAGCUAAUACCGGAUAAUAUAUUGAACCGCAUGGUUAAAUAGUGAAAGACGGUUUUGCUGAAACUUAUAGGUGGAUCCGGGCCGCUUUAGCUAGUUGGUAAUGUAACGGGUUACCAAGGAAACUAGGCGUAGCCGAUCCGCAAGGGUGAACGACCAGCCGAGAACUGAGACACGGUCCAGACUCCUACGGGAGGCAGCAGGAGGGAAUCUUCCGCAAUGGGCCAAAGCCUGACGGAGCAACGCCGCGUGAGUGAUGAAGGUCUUCGGAUCGUAAAACUCUGUUAUUAGGGAAGAACAAAUGCGUAAGUAACUAUGCACGUCUUGACGGUACCUAAUCAGAAAGCCACGGCUAACUACGUG
rnacentral:rRNA from 1 species